CAAUAGCGUAUAUUAAAGUUGUUGCAGUUAAAAAGCUCGUAGUUGGAUUUCUGGUGGGAGCGAUCGGUCUGGCGCUUAGCGCGAGUACUUGCAUCGUCUCCGGCCAUCCUUGGGGAAAGUCUGUCUGGCAUUAAGUUGUCGGGCAGAGGAUCCUCAUCGUUUACUGUGAAAAAAUUAGAGUGUUCAAAGCAGGCUUAUGCCGUUGAAUAUAUUAGCAUGGAAUAAUAAGAUAGGACUUUGGUACUAUUUUGUUGGGUUGCGCACCAAAGUAAUGAUUAAUAGGGACAGUUGGGGGUAUUCGUAUUCCGUUGUCAGAGGUGAAAUUCUUGGAUUUACGGAAGACGAACUACUGCGAAAGCAUUUACCAAGGAUGUUUUCAUUAA
rnacentral:rRNA from 1 species